UGCCUGUGCGUGGUCACCAGCUUGCAGGA
rnacentral:piRNA from 1 species